CGAAAUAUAUAACAAAGAAUAGAAAGAUAAUAAUAGAGAAAAAAAACAUGAGAACACACACACACACACACACACACACACACACAACACAGCAACAAACAAUAUAUUUUUUCCAUCAUCAUCAUCAGUCUGUGUGUGUGUGUGUGUGUGUGUGAUGGGCCGCCACCACCACCAUCACAAACACCGCCACCACCACCAUCAGCAACACCAUCACCGUACGACAACCUUUCCCUUGGUGGUGCCGCGGCUGCCAGAGAUACGAUAACUCACACAGAACUACGAUAACAUGAAUAAGGGAUACUAUAUCGACGAGUUUGCUUUAAUAUCCCUCUAUGUAACUAUCUAUUUGUGUUAACUAUCUUUCUAUCCUCUAUUCUUCACUCUAGCAAAGAUCAAAACAGUAUCAGGAUCUCUUUAUCAGGAAAAAAACAACAAAAAAAAAAACAUGACUAUCCAAGGUACAACAAUUUCCCUUUUGGCACGACGUCAUAUUAAUUAUUUAUCACAAUUUCCAUCGAAGCAUCAAAGGAGAGUGAAAUGGAGCGUUGAGAGCGUGAGAAGAGGAUGAUAAAGAGACCGUAGGAGGGAAAGAAAGGGAAGGGAAGGAAGGAAAAUGAAUGGAAGAGAGGAGGAGAGAAAGAAAUGGUUGACAAGGCAAUGAUAGAAAGGUAAGAAGGAGAAGAAGGAAGAGAGAAAGAAAUGGCAAACACAAAAGAAUGACGGAGAAAGCGUAGAAAGGAAAGUAAGGGAGAGAAAGGGAAGAAGAAAGAGAAGAAAGAAUGAAAUAGUGAAUACAAGAGAAUGAUAGAGAGAACGAAGGAAGGAAAAGAAAGAGAGAAAAAAAUGGCAAACACAAAAGAAUGACGGAGAAAGCGUGGAAAAGAAAGUAAGAGGGAGAAAGGGAAGAAGAAAGACAAGAAAGAAUGAAAGUGAAUGCAAGAGAAUGAUAGAGAAAACGAAGGAAGGAAAGUAAAGGAGAUCAAAGGAUGGAAGAAAAGGAAGAGGGAAGAGAAGAAAGAGAAAUAAGUGGUUAAGACAAGAGAAAGAUAAAGAGAACUUAGGAAGAAAAGGAAGGGAGAUGAAAGAAAGGAAGAGUGAAGAGAAAUAAACAGCAGACAAGACAUGAUGAAAGAGGGAAAAGGUUGCGUGGGAAGAAGAUUAAAGGAAGGAAAGAAGGAAGGAGGGAUAGAGAGAGGAGGAAGACCAAAUAUGAGAUGAAAGACGUGAGAAAGAAGAGGUAAGGACAAAACAUGAUAAAAGAUAGGAAGCAAGCAACGUGUGAGGAAGAUUAAAGGAAGGAAGGAAGGAAGGAAUGAUUUGAGGAGAGGAAGACUAAGAGAAGGAUGCUGGACAAAGAGAGAUUAACGAAAGAAAGAAAUAGUAGAGAA